rnacentral:miRNA from 1 species
AAACCCGGAUGAACUUUUUGGC